rnacentral:lncRNA from 1 species
UCACAUAGGUCGUUUCUCUGGAGCACGGAUUUCAACAUAGACGAAGCACAGGAAUCCAGGCACCUACAAUUACAAGGACUCCCGUCACAGUGGGCUGGUAUUGCCCCAGCCCCGCGCUUCGCUCGCCUGGGGCACCCUCCCCUCGCAAUCCCUCCCACACCACAAACUGCAAAACUGCACAUCGCAGGUGCAGGGGGAGGGACAACGUGAAAAUUCGUCAACAAGCAUCGCAAGAGAAAACGUGUGGACAUAACGCUUGCAAAAUAAAGUGUGUAAGAGGUCGGGAAUUGCAUCAUCGCGAUAUACAGGAUCGGCUGCAUUCUAUGGCGCAAACUUUAGCGAGUCCAUUCGCUUUCGGAGGAACCGAACGUCGCGUCUUGCUCGCGAGGGGGGACCCCCCCCCCACCCAUGAGGAUGCAUGUCCCUCCUCCCUGCACCCCAUUCCACACCGCAAACACACGUGCGCGGAUAGCUGGGCGCAAAGGCUGAGUUUGGGGCGAGCCGUGUCGCU